UGUUGUCGGAAGACGAAGAAAAAAAUGAAAAGGAAAAAAGAGAAGGAGGAAGAAAGGAAAUCACAGCCAUACGGGCUGUGCUCGUCGUCUGAACUGUAUCUGCUGUUUAACGGCAGGGAAAAGACGUUAUAUGACUGUGUGUUCCUCCCUCUGCCCAGACAGCCUCAUCUGUCAGCCAUUAGUUAAUCAGGGCUGGUAAAACCGAGCGUAGAAAGCUGGCACAGCCCGUGGGACCAGAGGACAGCUUCACCUCUGAGAGCAAGAGGGGGAAGACCCAGGGACCUCUAGUCCACCACUCUCCUAACCAGACACACACCGCUCUCUCAGGUUACGCUCUCAUGGUGACCCCACCCUCUCCAUCACUGUGGACAGGGGAUCUGAGAAGACCUGGAGCAAGAACAAGCUUGCAGUGCAGGGCUGUGUGAAGCCUGUCCAGAAUAUUACGCCCUGUACUUGCAAACAGACACUUAAGGUCAUGUCAGCUGCAUCAAAGAUAGUCCAAAUAUGGCUGUUUUAUCCAUUCUCAAGAUAGUCAUGGUUUAUCAUACUUCUCACACAAUACAGUGCAGUAUGUACCGCCAGUCUUUAAAACAGCUAUGUUUUAGUAUCACAUCAACAUACAUGUAUAAAAUAGACCUGCAUUGGGGUGUAAUGAUACACUCAGCUCACGAUACAAUACGUAUCAAGAUACUGGGUGUACGAUACAAUAAGUAUCACAUUAUUUUGAACAACAUUUUAAAUAAAACCGAAAUGUAAUUAACAGAUUUAUUUCCAAAACAUUAAACAUUUUCAAUAAUUUUCUUUGUUGUACAUACAAUUUAGUUAACUCAGUUCAAGCAAUUUCUGUGAAUGCAAUGAAUGCAUGCAUGACGCAGGUGCAGACUAGGUCGCGCGCUGGUAGCUCAACCAAUAGGAUCAAACGGACGUCGUAUUGUAAAAAUAUUGCCGUUACUCUACAAUACAUAUUGUUACAUUUUUGUAUUUCGAUAUAUUGUUCCACGAUAUAUUGUUACACCCCUAGUAUUGCAACAUUGUUAUAUAUUAUAAAGCUACAUUAUUGUCUGUGUCGUAUUUCGUGUUUGGAAAAAGAUGAAAGAAUGUGCUGAGGAUUUGAGACAGACUGGGGAAGUAAAACAUAUGGCCAGAGAGCAAUCCCAGGCUGCUUUUCUGUUAAAGGUCCGGUUUUGCUGGGAGUUUCAAAGACAGAAGUCAAAACAACACAUGUUGUCAACGUGGGAACAGCUGCUAAGAGAAGCAUCGUGGGGCAGAGGAAUGUCAGAGUCAUAGAUCUUACAUCAACCAGGCCAAAACAGCCACCCAGGCCUGAUCCAACACCUAGCACUAAACCUGCACCUCCAUCACAGUCUAACCCUGUAUAAUGAAGUCCAUACCAAAACCAAUCUGGCAUGCAAAAAUUGUGUGACUAAAGACAUUGCCAUUCUAAUGAUUCAAAGUGGUUUAACCUAAAUGUUUAAAAAAAUGGUCACUGGCACUGCAAACAUUGUAGUUCACAUUCGCAGGGUAAAGAAGUGACACUUGUAUGUACCAUAUCAGGACCAUGUUGAUAUGGAAGUGUUUAUUGUAGUGGGUGAUGGUGACUAAAAGGGAUAGUGUAAAGUCUAAAUUAUUCCACGACUGUCUUAACAAAGUAUUUGAUAAAUUGUGCACUGUAGGAGCCGCUGACCGCAUGUGACGGGGAAAGUUACACAGACUUUAACAGUAGUCUGUAGUGAGUGCCUAACUGGGCUUCUGCCAUCAACAAUGGCUCAAAUAAACAACUUGUAGAGUAGGUAUAUUAAGUUUCACCAGCAGGGCUUUCUCUUGAAGCCAACACCUCUCACAAAAAGUAAACUGAGCAACCAUAAGUCAACAAGAAAUGGCCAAAAGGGCUCUCCCAUCUGUAAGAUGUUUAAACUGGAACCUACUUCGAUAUCCAUAUCCCACUCUACUGUUGCUCUACUGAAUUGUAAACUUGUAAAGUCAGGACAGAAUAGUAAAAUGGGAAAUGAUGGAUGCUAAAUACAUGUUAUAUUAAUUGAACUGUCUCUGUUUACAUCAUUAUCAAUGUUAUAGACAGUCAACAAUCUUUAAAGCAGAUGUCAAGAUAUCCCUUGUCAAAGUCCUUCCAGUUGCUUUUAACUUAGUGUAUCUCAACGUCAAGCUGACAAAAGUAUUCUUCAGUCUUGUGUAGCAGUCUCCCAAACAAAUGUUAAAACAAUUUGUAGAGGGAGUUGAACAUUAACACCUGCUUGGUGUGUCUCAUUAACAAAUUCCUCCAAGCUAAACACAGGUUUAUGGGGGCAAUAUUGUUCUGUGUUGCAGAGCCAAAUAAUGUGUUUACCAAAGCUGUUAUCUCCUUUGAAUUCUCCCCUAGUGAGAAUAAAAAAGACUACUCUGCACCUGGUCUCAGCAAAUUCAGAGACUGCAUAAAUCCUUACAAAAAAGACAACAUUACUUCAUAAAAUUAAGAUAGAAAUGGAACAACCUCAAGUGCGACUACUAUUCCUUGUCUUUCGAUACAUCAAAAGUAGACCUAAUACAACCCCGAUGUCUCUACUUCGUAUUGUCUUCCCUGAAAUAUGCUCGCAAUUACAGCUCUUGAGCGAAUAUGACUCUAGCAGACGAUAAGUUUAGUUCCCCCAUAUCAUGGGGGAACUAAAAAUUCUGUGAUGUAAACGGCGGUUAAUCAUGAGCAGAGACAGGGCUGAAUAUGUAACAUCGAUGAGAAGACUCAGACAUUGACAUGCAGGAAUUUCCUCACCAUCUGGGAGCCAGUGGCCCCCACAGCCUCCCAGAGAAGCAAAAGUAGAAACAGACCUGACAGGUAGCUAACGCACACCGGUACCGUAGGUAUUAACACUUUAUAUAAAGAGUGCUACAAUGACAUCCAUUGUGUCUCUAGCUGACAUCGCAUCACUAACAGCAGUGUAUUUUAUAAGACAGCGGUGAAAUGUGAUAAGCUCCACUGUCUAAGGCAUAUCUGUUACUUUGAGAUGGUUACUACAACCCUCUUGGACACUUAAUCCAUCAUACUGUUACCCACUACUACUCCAAGCACAGGGAGAAACACUUUUUCUUUGACAAAGAUCCUGAGGUUUAUGAACUCCAGAGCACUGCGUCAACUUAAUAGCCAUCGACAGGCCUGAACAUAAACAGGCCCUAUCACAUCUUCAGCAGUAGCCUUACGUGAGAAGAGCAUGCAUUAAAGUACUGUCGGGAAGAGGAUUCCCAUCGAUAAGCUUUAGAUACCCUGAGAUACUUUGCAAUGCUAGUUGAGGCAAAGCAGACGUUUUCUGUGGCUGUCUACUGAGGGCCCUGUUCACGAUCAUUGGAUAAACCAGGGAAAGCCCAACUUAAAUACUUCCAGAUUUCUACCCCAUGUCUCCUCUUAUUUGAUUCCACUGAAUCCAACCCCAGCUGGAGUGCCCAUGAACAAAUAUUGGCCAAAACGGCCCUCUCCCGAAGUGUCUGUUUCUAGACCCAGGCCUUGUACUGCAUGUGGUUCAGACUUGUGCUCUAUCCGAUGCUUGCAUUUUUGUCAUAUCACCGAGGCUCCAUUGACGUUCAUGUGAAUCAUGUCCAAAUGACUCCCAAGUAUAAUUUGCACAGGGCCUCAAAACAGAAGACUAUAUUUCAAACAAUGGCGUUUGACGUCAACCAUGCUCAUCGCUGAUGUUUAUCAAUCUGCGGCAGGAAGAUCACUGGUUUACAUGAAAGGCUUUCGUUGCUGACGUCAGAUAUUUAUGUUCCAUAUGAACUGUAUAAAUACCUCUUCCAUUGCUUGCUCAAUCAAACGCUAGACAAUUGUUUUGUUCAACCAGGAUAAAAACAAAUCAAUCAUUGUAUGUGAUUCGUGUCUUUUGUUUCUAAUGAGGCGUGGCUGAAUCUUAUAUUUCCUCUCUAAAUUGCAAUAAAUUGAUAAAAACAUCAGUGUUAGCAGAGAGAAGUAUGCUAAUGUUAGUGUUUUGCUAAAUACUCCCAAAGAACUCAAGCACAUUAGUGUGAUGACAAACAGAUUGCAACAAUGCAUAAAAAAUACAAUAAAUAAUGUACCUUCUUUCAAUAUAUUAUUGUUGUUCUCCACAUCUGAUUAAUAAUUUUUUCACGCAGUUAAACUCUACUUAUGUCCCAACAGUUGACUCAGAUUCACAUCUGUUUUGGUGCCUUUAAGACCACAUGCCAAAUUCUACAGGGCAAAGCAAUAUCCAUUACUGACCACUAAAACCCAUCAAACGCAGCAUUCGGCUUGUUUAGUUUACAAACACUUAAGUCCCCAAAGUAACAUUAGCAUCCUGCUCUGGUUUUAACAUAAGCCCAGACAACAGCCAUGCAAGUAAAGACUCAGGAAUCCUCCAAGGUCCAACCUUCAGUCAGCCAUGCUAGGCCUGGAUCAGGAAACACAAGAUCAGUGAUGUCAUAACCAUCUGACCCCAGGGUGAUACCAUGGGUUAGGAGUAUUUUCCUGUCAGUGGCCUCAGGCUAAAGUCAAGUAUGUCUAUGUUGUCCAUGUGGAUUUCAUUUGAACCAGCACAUGUCACUUCAACAAUGAUCCCCCUCCAAAGGAGCCCUGGUACUGAACAGGAAAUGGUAUGUUUUUCCAAGCAAUUCCUAGUAUACAGGGUAUACAUUAACAAAAUAGUGGUGUGUUUGCCAAUUCAUCACAACCUGCCUUGUUGUUGCAUAGUACUUCCCAAAAGUCUCCACCACUGCUUUUAAAGGAAUCGCCUUUUCCUGAUGGUGUUUACAUAGUUGAUAAUCUAUUUGUGUACAACUGUGCUGCAACUGCGAAAAUAAUAAACAAAUUGUCUUUGUAAAAUAAAAGUUAUUAUA